AGAGUAAAUGUAAGAUUUUCAUCUUAUUAUUAAAUAGAUAAUACAUAAUCAAUACAAGAAAUCUGGAAUAGGUGUUCAUCAAUACAUUUAGCAUAUUAGUUAUAGGUUAGUUAAUCAAGUCAUCUUGUUUGCUGUUGUUUUGAUUCUUUAGAAUCUUUGUCAUUAGAGAUGGUGGAGAUAGAUUACACUUUUUAUGACACUCGGAACACUCUCCUGCUGAACCAAAAGCUUUGCAAUGAGGACGGCAAAUAACAUUGCAUUCCAUCUCCGAUUUUGCUUCACCUUCGAUAACAAUCAAUGUUAGUAUCAUCAUCAUUAUCCAUGUCAUGCUCAAAAUUUUACUCAUCUUUCUGAUAUAUGUGCUUUUCUUCUUUUUAAUUUAUAUGAAUGAAUAUGUCAUGAUAUUGAACUUGCAUCCCUAUUUAUAACUUGACUGCUUACUGGUAGAAUUAAGUUUGUUAUUUAUUUUAUUUUUGGACAGAUACAUUUGAAGGUAGAGUAUCUAGGUGUAAGUAAUACAUAUAAAAGCAAUAUUUUGUUUAUAAUAUAUUUUAUUCUAAUUUCUAUAUAUCUAUAAAAAUACUAUAUAUAUGUUUCAUUUGUUGGGAUUAUUUUCCAUUAAGUUUUUAAUUUGAAAUGCAAUUUUUAUUUCAACCCCUUCUAGUAUGGAAAUGAACUUACUAUAUGAUCUUAUUAUAUGUAAUAGAAGAAAUCUAGUACAUGGUAAAUGUGUCAUGAUAUGAACAUACAUCUCUAUUUAUAAAGUUGACUAUUUCAUGUUUAAUUAGUAGAUUUGCUUUUCGUUUUUUGGAAACAUAGAUGAAGGUAUAUCAUCUAUGUAGAAGUAAUUCGUACCAUAUAAUAUUUAGAUUAUAAUAUAUUGAAAACCAAUUUCUAUAUAUCACUGAAACAUAAUCUGUUUUUUAUCUGUUGGGAUUUUGUUCCAUGUAGUUUUUAUUAUUAAAAAUGUAAUGUUAUAUCAAUCCAUUCUAGCAUGCAAAUGAAGUUACAAUGUGAUCUUAGUCCAUGUUUUAUCAUAUAUCAAUUUUGGAUGUAUAUUUUGUGGCAUUUAUUCUAUUAAAAUAGAAUCGUAUAUUUAUAAUUUAUCUUGCAGCUACUGGUAUAUUAUAGAAUGCACAUCAAAUUUUAAAUUAAAUUUUAUAUAUAGUUAAAGACAAUUCCUUCAUAUUAUUUAAUAUUUAUUUUAAAUAAAUUUAUUUUAUAAAUUAUAAUUUUAUGUUCUUAAUUAUUUUAUAAAUUAUAAUUUUAUGUUCUUAUUCUUAUAGUAUUUUAAUAAGUUGAAAAAUAUUGUAAUAUUAAAUAAUAAAUAUUAUUUGUUUAAUUCCUUGAAUUUAAUUUUAUAAUUUAUUAAAAAAAUUACAAAAUGAAAUCAAUAUAUAUUUAUUUGAUAAAACUAAAAUAUUAAAUUAUAUCUACUAUAUAUUAUAUGAUUAUGAGGUGGAUCGGGUUACAUAUGAUAAUCUUAUGAUUGCAAUAUUUUGCGGCUUAUUUUAUGAAACAUGCAAAUUUUUUAUCAAGUAUAAGAAUGAUAAAUGAAAAUAUUAACUCAUUAUUAUUAUAAUAACUUUUAAAACAAUGUAAGACGGAUUGUCUAAUAAGAGAUAUAAUUAUUUCAUUUCAAUGAUACAUCUUAUAAAAUAAAAUAAAAACAAUAUAAGAAGAAUUAAAUAAUUAUAACAUAAAUGUAAAUAUAUUAUGUACAUAAAUUCAAUUCAAAGAUAUGUACAAAACUUAAAAACAUAAAUUCUCUACAAAAGUUAAAAUCUUGUUUUGCGAGAGCGGAUUAAACUUUAAUAUUUGGUAUACAAUACAUAAUUUAGACAAAAUAUUAACCGUAUAUCACUUUAAAAGUAAUUUUCUUCUAGUGAAAAAAUAUGUACAAUUAUUGAUGUACGCAAAUGACUUUCCACCAGUAGUAGUUAUGUUUAUAUGUCGUAUAGUUAAAUAUAUAACUAAUAUGGACAUCAGAUUCAGAGUAAAUGUAAGAUUUUCAUCUUAUUAUUAAAUAGAUAAUACAUAAUCAAUACAAGAAAUCUGGAAUAGGUGUCCAUCAAUACAUUUAGCAUAUUAGUUAUAGGUUAGUUAAUCAAGUCAUCUUGUUUGCUGUUGUUUUGAUUCUUUAGAAUCUUUGUCAUUAGAGAUGGUGGAGAUAGAUUACACUUUUUAUGACACUCGGAACACUCUCCUGCUGAACCAAAAGCUUUGCAAUGAGGACGGCAAAUAACA
rnacentral:lncRNA from 1 species